rnacentral:rRNA from 2 species
GGACUACCCGGGUAUCUAAUCCCGUUUGCUCCCCUGGCUUUCGCGCCUCAGCGUCAGCAGAGGUCCAGCGGAUCGCUUUCGCCACCGGCGUUCCUUCCGAUAUCUACGCAUUUCACCGCUCCACCGGAAGUUCCAUCCGCCCCUACCUCCCUCCAGCCCGCCAGUAUCAGAAGCUGUUUCCCGGCUGAGCCGGGAGAUUUCACCCCUGACUUGGCGGGCCGCCUACGCGCCCUUUAAGCCCAGUGAAUCCGAACAACGUUCGCACGGUUCGUCUUACCGCGGCGGCUGGCAC